rnacentral:rRNA from 1 species
UAGGGAAUAUUGGGCAAUGGGCGAGAGCCUGACCCAGCCAUGCCGCGUGCAGGAAGAAGGCGCUAUGCGUUGUAAACUGCUUUUGUCGGGGAAGAAAACGGCCUUGCGAGGCUAACUGACGGUACCCGACGAAUCAGCACCGGCUAACUCCGUGCCAGCAGCCGCGGUAAUACGGAGGGUGCAAGCGUUGUCCGGAUUCAUUGGGUUUAAAGGGUGCGCAGGCGGAAGACUAAGUCGGGGGUGAAAGACGGUUGCUCAACAAUCGCAGUGCCUUCGAUACUGGUUUUCUUGGGUAGAGAUGAGGCGGGCGGAAUUCAAGGUGUAGCGGUGAAAUGCAUAGAUACCUUGAAGAACUCCGAUUGCGAAGGCAGCCCGCUGGGCUCUUACCGACGCUCAGGCACGAAAGCGUGGGGAUCAAAC